UACAGAGGUCUCAAGCGUUGUUCGGAUUCAUUGGGCGUAAAGGGUGCGUAGGCGGCGCGGUAAGUCGGGUGUGAAAUCUCGGAGCUUAACUCCGUAACUGCAUUCGAUACUGCCGUGCUUGAGGACUGGAGAGGAGACUGGAAUUUACGGUGUAGCGGUGAAAUGCGUAGAUAUCGUAAGGAAGACCAGUGGCGAAGGCGGGUCUCUGGACAGUUCCUGACGCUGAGGCACGAAGGUCAGGGGGAGCAAAACGGGG
rnacentral:rRNA from 1 species